rnacentral:lncRNA from 1 species
AGGUGUGUGGAUCAAAGAGGAUGAGAAAUGAUUUGUUGCCUUUCUUGAAAGGAGGUGUGAAAACAUUCAAAAAUAACACUUAAACUUCAUUUCGGAGUUUCUUUAUUGGUAUAAGUGUGUUCAAUUGUUGCCAUAUUGGAGCGAAACAUUUGAAUUUGAAUCACAACAAUUAUGGCAUGCACAAUCAACAUUAUGGGGCU